rnacentral:lncRNA from 1 species
CCACACAGAUACACAUUAUAUAUGAAACAUAUGGAAUAUUUGUACUUUUAAAAAGCAAUUUAUAGUAAAAAAAAAAAAAAGGUACGUAUAAAUAAAAUAUACAUAUGAAGAACAAAGUAGUUUGAUUGCAUAUGUGUCUGAUUCAUAAAUAAGAUAUAAUUGAAGAGUUUGGUCGUUAUCGAUUAGUUGAGGUGAUUAGUUCUAAUGCAUAAUUUCCGGGACAUGCAGUAAACAUUUCCAAGACAUUAAGAGCUAAUUAUGCAGUUUAAAGAAACAAAUCAAGCAACAACUAAAAGUGGAGGCGGAUCUGGAUCGGGUGAUUGACACCUUUCUUCAGUACCUCAGCUGGCGACAGCCAAUCAAACUCCAGGAGGCGUGUCUCAGGUAAAGCCC